rnacentral:ribozyme from 1 species
GCUAUCCGAAUAUGCUGCUUCUACGCGGCGGAUGGCAGACAACGGAGUGUGCAUGCACGCUUCAACAAAAAGCAUGA